UAUUAAACCAACAUAGAUCCAUCUUAACCCCGGAUCUAUCAAGCUCUGACAGGGAUCAAAUCUCUCGAGGUGAAAGCUUUUUUUAAAGUACACAACUUGAGGAAAGGUUAAAGGUUUUCAACUCGAGAGAUUUGAUCCCUCUAGGCACUUGAUAGAUCCGGAGUUAAGAUGUAUCUAUGUUGGUCUAGUA
rnacentral:pre_miRNA from 1 species